UACGUAGGGUGCAAGCGUUAAUCGGAAUUACUGGGCGUAAAGCGUGCGCAGGCGGUUUUGUAAGUUUGUCGUGAAAGCCCCGGGCUCAACCUGGGAAUUGCGAUGAAGACUGCAAGGCUUGAAUCUGGCAGAGGGGGGUAGAAUUCCACGUGUAGCAGUGAAAUGCGUAGAGAUGCGGAGGAACACCGAUGGCGAAGGCAGCCCCCUGGGUCGACACUGACGCUCAGGCACGAAAGCGUGGGGAGCAAACAGG
rnacentral:rRNA from 1 species